rnacentral:rRNA from 1 species
UACGGAGGAUCCAAGCGUUAUCCGGAUUUAUUGGGUUUAAAGGGUGCGUAGGCGGCUCAUUAAGUCAGGGGUGAAAGACGGUAGCUUAACUAUCGCAGUGCCUUUGAUACUGAUGAGCUUGAAUGUAGUUGAGGUAGGCGGAAUGUGACAAGUAGCGGUGAAAUGCAUAGAUAUGUCACAGAACACCAAUUGCGAAGGCAGCUUACUAUGGUUAUAUUGACACUGAGGCACGAAAGCGUGGGGAUCAAACAGG